rnacentral:rRNA from 1 species
GACGAACGCUGGCGGCGUGCCUAAUACAUGCAAGUAGAACGCUGAAGAGAGGAGCUUACUCUUCUUGGAUGAGUUGCGAACGGGUGAGUAACGCGUAGGUAACCUGCCUUGUAGCGGGGGAUAACUAUUGGAAACGAUAGCUAAUACCGCAUAACAAUGGAUGACACAUGUCAUUUAUUUGAAAGGGGCAAUUGCUCCACUACAAGAUGGACCUGCGUUGUAUUAGCUAGUAGGUGAGGUAAUGGCUCACCUAGGCGACGAUACAUAGCCGACCUGAGAGGGUGAUCGGCCACACUGGGACUGAGACACGGCCCAGACUCCUACGGGAGGCAGCAGUAGGGAAUCUUCGUCAAUGGGGGCAACCCUGACCGAGCAACGCCGCGUGAGUGAAGAAGGUUUUCGGAUCGUAAAGCUCGGUUGUAAGUCAAGAACGGGUGUGAGAGUGGAAAGUUCACACUGUGACGGUAGCUUACCAGAAAGGGACGGCUAACUACGUG